CAACUGUUGGACAGACGCUUGUUUAUGGGCUUGAUAAAUAUUCUGGUGCUUAAAACUCCAAAAAUCGCCUGGAAAUUUGCCCUGGUGAUGCCAGGAAUUCAAGAAUGCUACCAGCACCUACUUGGGGAGACAGAGCUGCCUCCUGGACCCAUAGCUCUGCCACAUGACCUCAGCAUGGCAACCCUGGCUGAGAUUAUUUACCAUACCUUAGUGGUGAAGGCCUCUCUGUUAGACAAGGAAAAGCAUGUGAAAAUCCUGUUUGAUGCAUGGGCCGUUCUCAACGACGUGUACCAGCCCAUCGGCUUCGGCACCAAAGCGACCCAGACUGAGGCACCGGCCGGGCCGGGCCCGCCUGCUGCGCGAGAGUCGG